rnacentral:rRNA from 1 species
AUUGAACGCUGGCGGCAGGCCUAACACAUGCAAGUCGAACGGUAACAGGAAUCAGCUUGCUGAUUUGCUGACGAGUGGCGGACGGGUGAGUAAUGUCUGGGAAACUGCCUGAUGGAGGGGGAUAACUACUGGAAACGGUAGCUAAUACCGCAUAACGUCGCAAGACCAAAGAGGGGGACCUUCGGGCCUCUUGCCAUCGGAUGUGCCCAGAUGGGAUUAGCUAGUAGGUGGGGUAAAGGCUCACCUAGGCGACGAUCCCUAGCUGGUCUGAGAGGAUGACCAGCCACACUGGAACUGAGACACGGUCCAGACUCCUACGGGAGGCAGCAGUGGGGAAUAUUGCACAAUGGGCGCAAGCCUGAUGCAGCCAUGCCGCGUGUAUGAGGAAGGCCUUCGGGUUGUAAAGUACUUUCAGCGGGGAGGAAGGGAGUAAAGUUAAUACCUUUGCUCAUUGACGUUACCCGCAGAAGAAGCACCGGCUAACUCCGUG